AUGACCUGGGCUCCUCUCCUGCUGAUACUUCUGGCUCACUGCACAGCCUCCACUUCCCAGGCUUUGGUGACUCAGGAAACCUCACUUACCACAACUCAAGAAGGGACAGUCACACUCACCUGUGGCUCCAAUACUGGGGCUGUCACCACCAGUAACUAUGCAAAAUGGAUUCAACAGAAGCCUUACCAGGUACCACAGGGUGUAACAGGUGACACCAGUAAUCGGGUUCCUGGAGUCCCUGCCCGUUUCUCAGGCUCCCUGCUUGGAGACAAGGAUGCCCUCACCAUCACAAGGGCCCACACUGAGGAUGAGGCCACUUAUUACUGUGCUCUGUGGUUCAGCAACCAUUUACACAGUGACACAUACAGUCUGACUCAGACUCACUCUUGGUCCUAA